rnacentral:rRNA from 1 species
AGCAGCCGCGGUAAUUCCAGCUCCAAUAGCGUAUAUUAAAGUUGUUGCAGUUAAAAAGCUCGUAGUUGAAUUUCGGGACCAUCAUGUCGGUCGUGCCUCGGUACGUACUGGCAUUGUUGGUUUCUCCCUUCUGACGAAUCAUGAUGUCAUUUAUUUGGUGUUGUGGGGAAUCAGGACUGUUACUUUGAAAAAAUUAGAGCGUUUAAAGCAGGCUCACGCUUGAGUACAUUAGCAUGGAAUAAUGAAAUAGGACGUUUGAUUCUAUUUUGUUGGUUUCUAGGAUCGACGUAAUGAUUAAUAGGGAUAGUUGGGGGCAUUAGUAUUCAAUUGUCAGAGGUGAAAUUCUUGGAUUUAUUGAAGACUAACUACUGCGAAAGCAUUUGCCAAGGAUGCUUUCAUUAAUCAAGAACGAAAGUUAGGGGAUCGAAGACGAUCAGAUACCGUCGUAGUCUUAACCAUAAACUAUGCCGACUAGGGAUCGGAUGAUGUUAAUUUUUUAAUGACUCA